AUAGAGCAACAAACUCUAUACAGUUUUAGUGGACCCCGGUAAUCUUCAAGUCGCCAAACAGAAGAGAUUAUCGGGGUUUUUGCUA
rnacentral:antisense_RNA from 1 species